CGCACACCUUUUAGAUUUCUGACAUUUAAUCAAUUCCCUUCAAAUGAUAUUGAGCUUUAAAUGAUGGUAUAUUUUGUGUAUGAGCCCAUGCAGUAAUAAAAUACAUGGCAAUAUUUAUAUAUGAUUUAAUAGUUUAUUUUGUUAAAUAUCAGAAAUCUAAGAGGUGUGCAUCUUACCUGACACCUAUAUGAACACUUUACAGUUGUUUGUGUGUCUGUAAGUCAUUCCCUUCAAAUGCUAUUGAAGGGGGAAAGGUGUUUAACAAUGUCGUAUGUAACUUUGGAGACGGUCCCUUAAUUUCCGCAAACCUGCGAAUAUCGAACGUCCAACAUCAAACAAACUUUAUUCCAGUGUGAGAACCCAAGGCUGGCUUGUAACAUCAAGGAAGGGGCUUAUAACAUCAGAGGCUGCCUUUAUCUCAUUAAUGUUAUUAACAUCACACAUCCUAUGUCCGUGACACUGACCAUCGACUUUCUUCAGAUGAGAUGCCUGAACUCCUGAAAUCCUCCUGUACCAGAUGCACACUUUAAUAGAUAGGGUGGAGCUUCAGCGGUUCACAACAUAGUGUGUGGAGGGUUAAAAGACUGAACCAUGAAGUUGAUAGUGGAUGUAGUGUGGAUGAUAUGGGGCAUCGGUGCAUCUGUGUACGAUUACUUCCACACCAGCGCCAUGGAGGAGAGGAUCCACACUCUGGAGAACGUCCUCACCAUCCACCAGUUUCUCAUCGUGUUCCUCUCAGCAAGCCUCGUCCUGCUUAUCUCCUACAUCGUCUUUAAGAAGAAAUGACAUGCCGGAAACCUCGAAAACCUGGGAGCCUCGAGGAACCAUGAGACAACCACUCUGCUCCUCAGUGAAUGAGGAUGAUUGUAUAGAUAGAUGAACGGUUGUGUCAGAUUGUCUGACCAUAUCAAAUGUAGCUAUGAAACAUUGACAAGGUUUACAAUAUUUUGUAUUUAAAGAAAUACACCAUUUCUAACAUGUUGUUCUACAGAGACAGUUUUGUCUACCAUGUUUCUCUUGUCAUGACCUGUGGAAUUAUGGGAUUACAACAUAACUGUGCACUCAAUAUCACACCAUACAACAGAUUACCAGAACUCUCAAAAACUAUUUUUUCUUCCUCAAACCAAGUUCAAGUACUUUUUUUUAGUACUCAUCAAUACAGAUACAGUAAUGAUUAACCUACUUAGAAUAUUAAUCAUGCUAAGUAGAUUAGCAUGCCACAAAUAACAUGUUAUGGCGCUUAAAUGGUCUCAUUAAUAGAUGGUGUGAAGGUGGCCAUCUUGAGGAAGCUGACGUUGCUCAAUGCUUGUCAUGUGCAACAGUUUCUCUUUACAGCUCCACUGUUAUUUUUAAUGACCACACUGGCUGAAACUGCUCUGUACGCUCAGCUCAACACUCUAUAUUAAUAAAGAUACUGUUUAAAUGCCGUGA